GANGAACGCUAGCUACAGGCUCAACACAUGCAAGUCGAGGGGCAGCAUGGCCAAAGCUUGCUUUGGCCGAUGGCGACCGGCGCACGGGUGAGUAACAGGUAUCCAACCUUCCCAUUACCCGGGUACAGGCUUUCGAAAGAAAGGUUAAUACCCCGAUGCCGUGGGAUCCCCUCCUGGGGUUCCCAUGAAAGGAUUCCGGUAAUGGAUGGGGAUGCCCUCCAUUAGAUCGUAGGCGGGGUAACGGCCCACCUAGUCUUCGAUGGAUAGGGGUUCUGAGAGGAAGUCCCCCCACAUUGGAACUGAGACACGGUCCAAACUCCUACGGGAGGCAGCAGUGAGGAAUAUUGGUCAAUGGGCGCAAGCCUGAACCAGCCAAGUAGCGUGAAGGACGACUGCCCUACGGGUUGUAAACUUCUUUUGCAUCCGAAUAAAACGGGGCACGCGUGCCCCCUUGCAUGUAGGAUGGGAAUAAGGAUCGGCUAACUCCGUGCCAGCAGCCGCGGUAAUACGGGGGAUCCCAGCGUUAUCCGGAUUUAUUGGGUUUAAAGGGUGCGUANGUGGAUGUUUCAGUCAGCUGUGAAAGUUUUUGGCUCAACCUUGAAAUUGCAGUUGAUACUUUACAUCUUGAG
rnacentral:rRNA from 1 species